GACGAACGCUGGCGGCGUGCUUAACACAUGCAAGUCGAACGGAAAGGCCCUGCUUUUGUGGGGUGCUCGAGUGGCGAACGGGUGAGUAACACGUGAGUAACCUGCCCUUGACUUUGGGAUAACUUCAGGAAACUGGGGCUAAUACCGGAUAGGAGCUCCUGCAGCAUGGUGGGGGUUGGAAAGUUUCGGCGGUUGGGGAUGGACUCGCGGCUUAUCAGCUUGUUGGUGGGGUAGUGGCUUACCAAGGCUUUGACGGGUAGACGGCCUGAGAGGGUGACCGGCCACAUUGGGACUGAGAUACGGCCCAGACUCCUACGGGAGGCAGCAGUGGGGAAUAUUGCACAAUGGGCGGAAGCCUGAUGCAGCAACGCCGCGUGCGGGAUGACGGCCUUCGGGUUGUAAACCGCUUUCGCCUGUGACGAAGCGUGAGUGACGGUAAUGGGUAAAGAAGCACCGGCUAACUACGUG
rnacentral:rRNA from 1 species